GACGAGGAGAAUGGGAUCCCAUUACCUGGUUCUUGUUGAGGGGCCGUGGGAUGAAGCCACCGUGGGGUACCAAUGUAAUUUGUUUGUUUGGUUUUUUUGUAAGUACACUGUCGCCGUUUUCAGACACACCGGAAGAGAGCAUCACUGGAUUCCAUUACAGACGGUUGUGAGCCACCAUGUCCUUGCUGGGAAUUGAACUUCAGACCUCUGGAAGAGCAGUCAGUGCUCUUAACUGCAGAGCCAUCUCUUUCCAGCACCACCAGUGUAAUUUUUACAGAAUUCAUAUCCAGAUCCCCUAGCCUGACUGUUGAGUAAUUUGCCUGCACCUUAUUCUCUGGGACAUUUUCCAUUUGUUUGUUUCCAGCAGGUCUGCUUAUAAAGCAGGACAGAGCACUUUUACUGACAAUGAAAGGUCGGGUCUGGGUUGUAGUUUUCCUGCAUGACGGGCAAAUUCUCAGUCUGGGGAAAGGAGUGCACUAGGACCAGGAGGCUCCUGGCUCCCAGCCAAAUCCCUGCCGGAUUAGCGCCUCCAAGGGUCUCCAGGCCACCUCUACUCCAUUGCCAGCUGAAGGGAGCCUUGGAAUCAAACCAGUUAUCCAGUGACAGCAUCACUUGACCGCCCCAGGCUGAGGAACUGAGAGAACCGUCCGCGUCUGAUCUUCCUCAGCACCCGGACCUGGGUCCUGUGCCCCAGGGCGCAGGGCGUCUGGCCCUCGUGGCGGCGCUCGUACGCCCUCUGGUGGCCGUCUUUCGAGCCUGGGGCGCAACAGUCCCCAGACUAGAGCGGGAGAGGUGACCCAGAUCUACAGACUCUACGCGAGGAUCUCGUUUGCACAGAGGAAGCAUACUUUCGUUGACACUUAAUUCCUGGGAAGCCAGUGGGGCACGCUUGGACCACCAAAUGGGUGAGGGGACCCGUGCCCUGGGAGAAGCGGGCAGAGACCGCGUACCCAGCGGAAGUGGUGGCUAUUGUGCUAGCGUUAGGCCCUCCCACUCCCGUGCUGGCCAUCCGCCUCUGGAUGCCGCACUCCCUUGGGGUGGGAGGCCCGAGACCAGCUGGUCAAAUUGGAAGAACCACAGUCACUGUAGGGGACACGAAUGGUGGCUGAGAAUUCCCCUUUCAAUUUCUCCCUUGUUUACCGAGCUUAUUAGAGGCUCCAGAUCAAUAGAGACUUGUUUAUUGGGCUUCGGUUCUUGGGUUCCUGCUUGGAAAGGUGGCCCAGAUACCACUGCAGCUCUGGCAACCAGGAAGGGCUGCCCUACCCAGGCCGAAUGCAACCUUGUGUCGAGACCCAUAACGGAGCCAGGCCCAGGCAACUUCCCGCUAGGGUAGGGGCUACGUGGUGGGUGGUGGUGAGGCUGCAGAGGCUGUCGGAACUAGUCCUGAUCCUCCUGGGGACCUCGAAGGAAGGGAGCUGGGUGGGGAGGGAGCCUCAGUAAAGAACCCUGUAAGGUAACUGUUGCCUGAUGGUUCUUAGUUCUGGCUGGCCAGGGAGGAGGGGGAGGUUCUAGCGGACAUUUUGAGUCUAUCAGAACCCAGAGGCCCCACAGAGCAGGGGGAGUCCUUGGAGAGGCAGGCACUCCACCUUGUGGGGCUGGAAAGAAGGUUGGUUAGGCGGUGAGGAAUCUGAGGAGGGAAUUUCCUUGAUUCUGUUUGUGGUGUGUAAUGAAGUCUGUUUUCAGAGUUCUGGAGGCUGAGGGUCUAGGGAAUGUAGUCCCAUGAUAGAGUACUUGUUUAGCUUGCAGGAAGGCCUUUGAUCCUCAGGGUGGCGAAAAUCAGCAGGGGUACACAUCUAUAAUCACAGCACCGGGCAGGCAGAAACCAGAGGACUGGAGGGUCAUCCUCAGCAACUGAGUGAGCUCAGAGCCAGCCUGGGCUACGUAACUCUGUCUCCAAACCAAACCGCUGUUCUGGAGAUUUGGAAGACAAAGAUCAAGAUAUGGAGUUUGGAGGUGGAGAGAUGGCUCAGUGGUUAAGAGCACUGACUGCUCUUCCACAGGUCCUGAGUUCAAAUCCCAGAAACCACAUGGUGGCUCACAACCAUCUGUAAUGAGAUCUGAUGCCCUCUUCUGGUGUGUCUGAAGAUAACUACAUUGUACUUAUAUAAUAAAUAAAUAAAUUUUUAAAAAAAGAUGUGGGGUUUGAUGUCUGGAGAGGCUUCUCCAGGGAAGACACCUGUGUGUCCUCACAGCCAGGAGGGAUUAAGGACAAGAGGCUCCUUCCUCUGAUCUCUAGAUCUUCUCAAAGGAUCCCGCCUCAGGGAGGCUCCUGACUUGUCUAGAUGAAUUUCGGGUAGUAGUUCCCAGAGGAGGCAGCCCCUCUGAGGAUGAGGAUGAAGUCCAGAGUACACUACCCCUUUAAAAUGAGAGCUUGUCCCCAGCACAUUUUUGUGAGGAAAUGGGCUAGUGGGUGUGUACUUUCUCCAAUUCUCCCCAGACCUGUUUGCUGCAGGGAAGGUGAUCUUCCCUUCCAGGUGUCUCCUCUGGAUGGAAUGCUGGAGUUGGUGCUUUUCGGGAGAUGGUGGAAUCUUUUUUUUUUUUUCCGGAGCUGGGGACCGAACCCAGGGCCUUGUGCUUGCUAGGCAAGCGCUCUACCACUGAGCUAAAUCCCCAGCCCCGAGAUGGUGGAAUCUUUAGGAGGUGGAGCCUAGCUGAGGGAAGUAGGUUACUGGAGUCGGCACCUUUGAAAGUUAAACCAAGCCUUGUCCCUUCCUGUCCCUAUUUUCCUUAUAGCUAGAGGGAAACAACCUUGUUCUUCCCAUUGCCAUGAUGCUCUCUGCCUCUGUCUCACAGGGGCCCAGAACUGAUGGAAUAAAGAAUGGUGGGGGCUGGAGAGGUGGCUCAGUGGUUAGAAGCACUGACUGCUCUUCCAGAGGUCCUGAGUUCAAUCCCCAGCAACCACAUGGUGGCUCACAACCAUCUGUAAUGGGAUCUGAUGCCCUCCCCUGGUGUGUCUGAAGACAGUUGCAGUGUACUUAUAUAUAAUAAAAAUAAAUAAAUCUUUAAAAAAAA